CGGUCAGUCAGCUGUGAGACGCCUCCGUACGGCAACACCUCAGCCUAAAACAGUCUGCUGUCGAACGCGAGCAAACGACGUGGCCGUCAACAUUAACACUAUUUUACUACUGGCUGGCUUACAAGACGCUGACCCCUCAGUCGACCUUAACUGAAACCCCUCCAAACAUAAACUGCGGGGCACGCGGAUCGACGCGGCGUGACGGGUGCUGAUCGACACGUCAGUACAGGAGCAUCGUGACGAAGUAGGCGGCCGGGUGUGUUCAUCUACAUCUGUCUUAUAAAAAUAUGGAGGCAGGACAGUACAAUCACGACUCCAAUCCUGUAAACAUGCACAAUCACUAAGGAAUGGACACAUCUUGUAGGUACCUAUUUAGCGAUCAGCUCAAAUGGGAUGAUGAACAACUGGGAGAGCUUGGCACAGAAUGUCCAGAGUCUCAGCUAGGCAUGCUGACUACAACACCAUGGAGGCACAUAUUAAUGGUACUGGUAUUGUGGCAGGUAAGAGGGGGAAGGCAAGUGGUAUUGAAGCAAGCAUCCUGUGCAGGGCAGCCAGUUUCCAGGCCCUGCAAGUUGGUGACUCUGCCCCAAGAGGUGUGGUUGAAGGCAGGAGGAAGUGGCAGAGCCUCACCAGAUAUGCGAAUGUCAUCUAAGCAGCCUGUAGUUAAAAAAUAUUACUUUAGCUUUUCCUAUAAAUAAUGACUUUCAUUUUGUAACCAUGAAUGACAACUUGUAUGAAUAUGUAAUGAUUUAACUUUACAAAACCUUAAAAUGUACAGUGUUUGGAGUGACUAACUUUUAGAGAAAUUAUUAAUAAAAUCAAUGAGUCAU